CCUACGGGGGGCUGCAGUGGGGAAUAUUGCACAAUGGGCGCAAGCCUGAUGCAGCCAUGCCGCGUGUGUGAAGAAGGCCUUCGGGUUGUAAAGCACUUUCAGCGGGGAGGAAGGCGGUGAGGUUAAUAACCUCAUCGAUUGACGUUACCCGCAGAAGAAGCACCGGCUAACUCCGUGCCAGCAGCCGCGGUAAUACGGAGGGUGCAAGCGUUAAUCGGAAUUACUGGGCGUAAAGCGCACGCAGGCGGUCUGUCAAGUCGGAUGUGAAAUCCCCGGGCUCAACCUGGGAACUGCAUUCGAAACUGGCAGGCUAGAGUCUUGUAGAGGGGGGUAGAAUUCCAGGUGUAGCGGUGAAAUGCGUAGAGAUCUGGAGGAAUACCGGUGGCGAAGGCGGCCCCCUGGACAAAGACUGACGCUCAGGUGCGAAAGCGUGGGGAGCAAACAGGAUUAGAUACUGGUAGUC
rnacentral:rRNA from 1 species